GAGUUUGAUCUUGGCUCAGGACGAACGCUGGCGGCGUGCCUAAUACAUGCAAGUCGAGCGGAUCUUCAUUAGCUUGCUUUUGAAGAUCAGCGGCGGACGGGUGAGUAACACGUGGGCAACCUGCCUGUAAGACUGGGAUAACUUCGGGAAACCGGAGCUAAUACCGGAUGAUCCUUUUCCUCUCAUGAGGAAAAGCUGAAAGACGGUUUCGGCUGUCACUUACAGAUGGGCCCGCGGCGCAUUAGCUAGUUGGUGAGGUAACGGCUCACCAAGGCGACGAUGCGUAGCCGACCUGAGAGGGUGAUCGGCCACACUGGGACUGAGACACGGCCCAGACUCCUACGGGAGGCAGCAGUAGGGAAUCUUCCGCAAUGGACGAAAGUCUGACGGAGCAACGCCGCGUGAGCGAUGAAGGCCUUCGGUC
rnacentral:rRNA from 1 species